GUUUAUUCUUCUCUUAAACACAAGCAUAAAAGCAGAAGUUGGAAGAGCUUGCAUGUUUUCAUCAUGGAAAGUUAAUAAUCAGAGAUUUCAGUUCCAGCAUGCUGAGGAAGCACAGUUUUCCUUCUCAUCAAGCCACCAACUCUAUGACAAUGGCUCUCAUUUGGGGAUGAAGCAAAGCAGUUACUGAAAAUCAAAAGAAUGUUGAGAAGAGAAAAGUUGUCAUGGAAAGAGCUCUGACCCCUAAUUCAGCUGAGGCUACCAGAGAAGCAGAGUCCCUGCCUCUUUUUUUAUCAGGCCCUUAGCAACUCACUUAUGGUGAAUACUAGUGAUGUAGUUUGCUUGUACAUAAAUUUCCUACCAAAAUGUAUGAAUUUUAUACCAUUUGGCAUUCUUUGUUUCAAUGAAUAAAUCUCAAACUUUACUCUUUUAUUUUAUUUGUCUGAUUACAUGUCUAUGUCACCAAAUCUGUGAAAUCCUGUAAGGCAGAAAAAAAUGUCUUCACAUAUCUAUACUUUAAGAUACCAAUGCUCACCUGGCAUAUGGCAGGGCACAACACGUAUUUGAUGACUAAAUGAAAAUAAUAUAAAAUAUCACCUAGUUAUACACCAAUAAUCUGAGACAUAAUUAUCAUAUCUGAGAUCUGUGUGAUUUUUUUUGAGAUGGAGUUUUGCUCUGUUGCCCAGGCUGGAGUGCAAUGGCACAAUCUCAGCUCACUGCAACCUCUGCCUCCCAGGUUCAAGCAAUUCUCCUUUCUCAGCCUCCCAAGUAGCUGGGAUUACAGGUGCAUGUCACCAUGCCUUGCUAAUUUUUGUAUUUUUAGUAGAGAUGGGGUUUCACCAUGUUGGCCAGGCUGGUCUUCAACUCCUGACCUCAGGUGAUCUGUCUGCCUCGGCCUCCCCAAGUGCUGGGAUUAUCGGAUUGAGCCACUGUAUUAUACAUGUUGUUAUUUAUUAACACAACAUCACGUUUUAAUCUUACCACAGAACCUUAAUGAAACACGGAAGCUGUUUUAUUUCCAAUUCAAACAUGAGUUAAGUAAAACACAUAAAGUUAAUUGAGUUGGCAGAGUAAAAAAGAUAGUAAGUGACAUAAUUCAGAUUUGAACUUCAUUCAUGUUGAGCCUAAAUUCGGUGUUGUUUCAAUGUGACUGAGCUAUCAGCACCUCACUUAGAUUACAUUAAGGAGUCCAUUCAUUUUAACCAUGGCCAAUGAUUUACUUAGCAGAAUUUUAUAUAAAUAAUAUUACAGAGUUUGUGAAUGUAUAAUCCCAAUAAUUAUGCAGUUCUCAAUCUUCAGUAGCAUCUAACUGUACAUACUCUGAGAAAUUUCACAUUAUAUUUACUGCACUUAAAGUACAACUGGCUCCAUUUGUUUAUUAAUGCAGGAAAAGGUGCCUUUUUAUAGAUUUUUUAAAUAGAUUAAAAAAGUGCUAUUUUAGCUUUUUAAAGUUUUGAUGGAAACUUUUCUCUAAUUGCAAUCAGUAUUAAAAAUUUGUUCUGAGUUAUAAGAAUGAAUAUAGAAAUUCACCUAUUGAGUAUUGAUGCCAUGGCAAGAAAAUUUAUCCUAGUCUUUCCUCUUCUCGUUGGAUAUUGUUAAGAGGUCAAUACAAAAUUAUAUUUAAGAGGUAAUAAAAUCAAAGUAUAGAGAGUUGAGUUGACUUAUACAUAUAUGUGUGUGUGUGAAUCGGCCUUCUUAAAAUUUCUAUGUCACAAAUCUAAAAGUGUCCUCUAAACCCUGCCUUAUAAAUAAUUAUAUGAUGACAAUUGUAUAAAGUUUAAGUUGAAUGCUAUCAGACGUCAAAGAGAAGUGGUUCUCCA
rnacentral:lncRNA from 10 species